rnacentral:rRNA from 1 species
UAGGGAAUCUUCGGCAAUGGGGGCAACCCUGACUGAGCAACGCCGCGUGAGUGAAGAAGGUUUUCGGAUCGUAAAGCUCUGUUGUAAGAGAAGAACGUGUGUGAGAGUGGAAAGUUCACACAGUGACGGUAACUUACCAGAAAGGGACGGCUAACUACGUGCCAGCAGCCGCGGUAAUACGUAGGUCCCGAGCGUUGUCCGGAUUUAUUGGGCGUAAAGCGAGCGCAGGCGGUUUAAUAAGUCUGAAGUUAAAGGCAGUGGCUUAACCAUUGUUCGCUUUGGAAACUGUUAAACUUGAGUGCAGAAAGGGAGAGUGGAAUUCCAUGUGAAGCGGUGAAAUGCGUAGAUAUAUGGAGGAACACCGGUGGCGAAAGCGGCUCUCUGGUCUGUAACUGACGCUGAGGCUCGAAAGCGUGGGGAGCAAACAGG